GGAUGUGAGGGCGAUCUGGCUGUGACAUCUGUCACCCCAUUGAUCGCCAGGGUUGAUUCAGCUGAUCUGGCUGGCUAGGCGGGUGUCCCUUUCCUCCCUCACCGCUCCAUGUGCGUCCCUCCCAAAGCUGCGCGCUCGGUCGAAGAGGACGACCUUCCCCGAAUAGAGGAGGACCGGUCUUUGGUCAAGGGUAUAGGAGUAGCUGCGCUCCCCUGCUAGAACCUCCAAACAAGGUAAUCCACUAUGUAAACAAACUCAAAGAAAAAAAAAAAUCACAUCAUCAUCUCCUUAAAUGCAGAGAAAGCACUGCAGUAUUAACAUACAAUUCUGUU
rnacentral:snRNA from 1 species